rnacentral:tRNA from 1 species
GCCCCCGUAGUUUAACGGAUAAAACGAUUCGCUUCGGACGAAUUGACUGAGGGUUCGAUCCCUUCCGGGGGCGCCA